rnacentral:rRNA from 1 species
UACGAAGGGGGCUAGCGUUGUUCGGAAUUACUGGGCGUAAAGCGUGCGCAGGCGGCUUCUCAAGUCAGGGGUGAAAGCCCAGAGCUUAACUCCGGAAUUGCCUUUGAGACUGAGAGGCUUGAGUACGGGAGAGGUGAGUGGAAUUCCCAGUGUAGAGGUGAAAUUCGUAGAUAUUGGGAAGAACACCGGUGGCGAAGGCGGCUCACUGGCCCGUAACUGACGCUCAUGCACGACAGCGUGGGGAUCAAACAGG